rnacentral:rRNA from 1 species
UCCGAAGGGGGUUAUCGUUGCUCGGAAUCACUGGGCGUAAAGCGCACGUAGGCGGAUUGCUAAGUCAGGGGUGAAAUCCUGGAGCUCAACUCCAGAACUGCCUUUGAUACUGGCGACCUUGAGUCCGGGAGAGGUGAGUGGAACUGCGAGUGUAGAGGUGAAAUUCGUAGAUAUUCGCAAGAACACCAGUGGCGAAGGCGGCUCACUGGCCCGGUACUGACGCUGAGGUGCGAAAGCGUGGGGAGCAAACAGG